rnacentral:rRNA from 1 species
AUUGAACGCUGGCGGUAUGCUUAACACAUGCAAGUCGAACGGCAGCACGGUCUGUAGUAAUACAGAGGGGUGGCGAGUUGCUGACGGGUUAGUAAUACGCAGGAAUCUGCCCUAUAGAGGGGGAUAACUCGAGGAAACUCGAGCUAAUACCGCGUAGUCUCUACGGAGUAAAGCUGGGGCAACCUGGCGCUAUAGGAGGAGCCUGCGUCUGAGUAGCUAGUUGGUGGGGUAAUGGACUACCAAGGCGACGAUCAGUAGGUGGUCUGAGGGGAUGAUCACCCACACUGGGACUGAGACACGGCCCAGACUCCUACGGGAGGCAGCAGUGGGGAAUAUUGGACAAUGGGGGCAACCCUGAUCCAGCAAUACCGCGUGUGUGAAGAAGGCCUUAGGGUUGUAAAGCACUUUAGGCGGGGAAGAAGGUAUGUAUUUUAAGAGAUAACAUAUUUGACGGUACCCGCAGAGUAAGCACCGGCUAACUCUGUGCCAGCAGCCGCCGCGG